rnacentral:rRNA from 1 species
GGAAUAGCGGAGGAUGACCCCUCCAAGAAACAGCCCAAGCGCCGGCGUCAGCGGCGCCGCUCUAAAUCCCGCCAUAGCAAGAAUGAGGAUUCCGGCACCAGAGACAAUAAUACACCGGAUAGCGCCGAAGACAACCCACUCCAGCAAGAUCCAGCACAGGAGGAGGGGGACGCCAGCCCUCAUGAGAGAGUGCCCGAAGAAGAGGUAGAGGACUAUAGGCCUCCCUCCGGAGAUGAGGCAAGCCUCGACGACGACGAAUUCGUCGUACCUGAGGAUCCCGUCGAACAGGAGCGUUUCAAACACAGGCUUAUGGCCACAGCAAACAGCCUCAAGAAAAAGCAGCAGCAGCUUAGAGCUGAUCAAGAUCUGCUAGCCGACAGAUGGACCGAAGUCCUCGCGGCCGAAGAGCAUGAACUUGAACGCCCCUCCAAAAGCUACCCCAAACGUAAGCUGCUCCCCCGAUUAGAGGUGGAGGCAUAUGAUCCCGCUUCACCAGGAGACAAUACGGCUGAUCGACCACCCCGUGGUCGCGACAGAGAGGCCUCAAGGCCCUUCACUAGACCCGUACCCCGGCAUCGCUCGAAGAGCACAAGGCCACAGGGGAACACUCCGGACCUGCACGACAUAUUGGAG